CCUACGGGUGGCAGCAGUGGGGAAUAUUGCUCAAUGGGCGAAAUCCUGACGCAGCGACGCCGCGUGCGGGAUGACGGUCUUCGGAGCGUUAACCUCUUUCUGCAGCGAAGUACGGUCACUGUCCUAAUCAGCAUUGAAUUUACGGUACCUGCAAAGGACGCACCGGCUAGCUCCGUGCCAGCAGCCGCUGUAAUACGGAGGGUGCGAGCGUUAAUCGGAAGUACUGGGCGUAAAGCUCUCGUAGGCGGUAUGUCAAGUCAAAGGUGAAAUACCCGCGCUCAACGUGGGAACUGCCUCUGAAACUGGCAGACUGGAGAGUGUGUGCGGAUAGUGGAAUUCGAGGUGUAGCAGUGAAAUGCGUAGAUAUCAGGAGGAACAUCAGUGGCGAAGGCGACUAUCUGACACAUAACUGACGCUGAGGAGCGAAAGCGUGGGUAGCAAACAGGAUUAGAUACCCCUGUAGUC
rnacentral:rRNA from 1 species